rnacentral:lncRNA from 1 species
CUUUUUCAAUCAAUUGUACAAAAGUAGACACUAUUAUUUAAUUCAUAAAUUUUUUUUUUUACUUUUAAGACUUGUGGAACAUGCAUAAACUGUUAAUAUAGAGUUAUGUCCCUUUCCAGUUAUAAGUAUUAUAGUUUUAACUAAACUGCAUGUGAAAAAAUAUUAUGAUCUAGUCUCCGAUUUCAUUAAAAAAUUUCAAUUUAUUAAGGUUUAUUAAUUUAAUAUGGUAAAUAAUUCUCAAAUUCCACUGAAAGGCCAUUCCUAAAAGAUUUGUGAACAUUUUAAACUGAAAUUUAGGAAGAACUUUGUCCUCAAUUUUUAAGUUUAAAAAUCAGGAAAUUUUGGAUUUUCAAUAUAUGUUCUCUAAUGAUUUUGCAUGUUAACUUUCUUAUGAUUUUCCUGAAAAAAAAAUUGUUGACAUCUAGUUAAGCAAAAGGCAUGUGAAAAUUUGUUUCUUUUUGAAAGAUUCAG